rnacentral:tRNA from 2 species
GCCUUAGUAGUAUAAAAAUUACAUUGGUCUUGUAAACCAAAAACGAAGUACUAUUCUUCCUAAGACA